GGCCCCCGGCGGGGAGGUGGGGUUGGUCCAGCUCCAUCCCAAGAGGGAGUGGAGGGGGGCUCCUGCCGGCUCUAAGGCGAGGAAGUGCCGCUUCUCCAUCUUGAGGAGGGGGCGAGCGGGAGGCGCAGCCCCCUUGGCGAGGGGUCCCGUUCCCACUGCUGUGCUCCGUGGUGGAGCCGUGGCACCUUCCACGGUAUUGCACCGACAGGGCUUUUACUGUUCCAUGGGCGCGACCUGGAGAUAGAGCAGCGAGAGGUCUCCCAGGUCUGAAGACCUUCGGCAAAGGUCUGAAGGUGUCGAGCCAAGAAGCUGUGGCGGAAAGGCAGCCGAGCCCUCUGCCUCACGCCCCUUUGGGUACCAGCAUCCGACAGGCGACCACGGUAUUGCUGUUGGUCUGCCAAGGGGCCUCGAAGGGGUAGCUGAUCCAGUGUCCUUGACUUUCCAGAUUGUUUUCUCCACUGAAUAAUCAAGAAGCAGUUGCUCCUAUGCAAACACAAAGGAUUUGAAGCAAAGACCUCCUGUUUGAAAAACCCAGCAGCAGCAGCACCUGGUGCCUGUUCUUCUGCUAGUCUGCAAACUCCAGAAAUGCUAUGAAAUGGCAAAACACAUCAUGAAGGCAGGAUUUUUGCAGAUGAUUAAGGCUAAGAAGGCAUUUUCUUGCUGAGCCAAUUAUUGCCUUUCAUAAAAUUGAUAAAUUAAUAGGCUUAAUCCUCCAAAAAUAAUAGUCUUAGCAUGCUAUAAUGCCAUCUGAAAAUUAUUGACUCUUAAAAAUGUAGCCUUCUAGAUAAAUGUUGAUCUGGUUACCUCCAGCUGCCUUCCCACAGUAAGUGCUUUUAUUUGAUCAGACAAAAGUCUUGUGAAGCUGUCAUCACCCAGGACAAUUAAUUCAGUGUCAGAUAUCCAGGUUCAUUUUAGAGUCUGCCUCUGACAUGCACCCUCUAUCACUGCCAAGUGCACCUUAUGAGCACCUUCUUGCUGUGUCAGGGAAGCCCUGACCUGAGGCGUAACACAACAUUAUGGUGACAUACAGGAGGUUCCUCCUACCACAGGGGGCUGGUGCAGACCUUCCAGUCACCCUGCACCCUACUUGCCUUUCCCUUUCCAACUGGUUUGAUAAACUAGCUGCGCAGAAGUUUUCCCUGUGACAUCUGUUUGCCACUUAGGUCACAUUA